CUCCAAGCCCAGUCAGAGAGAGGGUGUGCUGAAAGAAGAGUGGUUGAAGGGGUUCCUGAGGAGAAUGUAGCUGAAGGCACAGUCUAAAGAACGAGGACUGUGAGACCCUAAACUUGAUGGAUGAGGUAUGAGCUGGGAAGGCCGGGACUUAAAACCACAAUCCCAAGGAGGACUGUGAACCCUAAAUAUGAGGGUGUCUGUCUAUGCAGCCUUGAGAGAGAGAGCUCCUGGUCCCUUUUAUUAGCCUCUAUCUAAAGCCAAUUUAUGUGAAUCUGGUGCUCAUUAAAUUGGAGGUGACUGGGGAAGGCUUAGGCAAAGAGCCAGAUAUAUACCUCAGCUCUGCCCUGAAGACCCCAGCCUCAUUAUUCUAGUCCUGUACCCCCAUAGGGCACUGCCAAUAAACAUCAAACCUGACCUGUAAUACCCACUGCUGUUGCAGUCCUGGACCAUAAUGGAUAUUUGCCAAUGCACCUUAAUCCUGACCUGCAGUGUUCUCUGCUGUUCCGUUCCUGAGCCUCUCGUGAGAAGAGACCAACAGUCAGGCUGGUGGUUUUAUGAUGGAGAUAAAUGCUAGGAAGUGACUUGGAAGACCAACAAACCUAUUUGCACUGAGAUAUUGGAACUCAUGUCUCAAGAGAUUGAAAGGCUAAUAAACUGUACAUCAGAGACCACUUUGAUGAACUUACACAUUGUUAUUAUCACAGGGGGCCUGAUUCUCUUUUGCUCUGCAUUUUGUGCAGUCAUUUACACCAAGACAAUGGGAGUGCAAAAGCAGGUAUUCAAAAAUUACUAUUCUUAUUCAGUAACAUCUUAUGCCCAUUUCUGCACUCAGUUUGCAGUGGCAUCAAUGAUGGCCCAAAUUGCUGGCCAAUGGAGAAUCGGGUCCUAGGUGUUUGUAACAAUGUGUGCUGAGUUGUUUGGUGCAUUAUCAGUGUAGAAGUUACUAGUUGUUCAGAGCAUCACAAAAUUCAAUAGUACAUAUCAAAAUUCUUAUCAGUCCUGUCCCCAGUCAUAUGAUUGUUUUAAGCAGCUCUGCAGUUAAUAAUUAAGCCAUGUCAAGGAAAACUGGUGAAAAAUCCCCCCCUAGAAGACAGGGGCAUUGUUCAGUCCACAAGAGACCAGAGAGCUGAUUGUUGUUGCGGAAUGACUACAUUUCUGUGUUUACUCUGAUCUGUGCAUAUCCAACAACCUUUGAAAGUUUAAUGUGAGGAUCCCAUGACACCAAAGCCCUGUGAGUGACUAGAGCAAAGAUGAAACAUUCUGAGAGAUAUGAGGGCUGUUAUGGUCAUUUUUGUUCAAAUAUAAAUGGUGAAUUUGGAAUAGUGAUUUUUACAUAGGUGUUCUGAUACAGUGAAGUAUUCAGCAGAGCUGGGUUUACAUGUGCUGAGA